rnacentral:rRNA from 1 species
UGAGGAAUAUUGGUCAAUGGGCGAGAGCCUGAACCAGCCAAGUAGCGUGAAGGAUGAAGGUUCUAUGGAUUGUAAACUUCUUUUAUACGGGAAUAAAGCCGUCCACGUGUGGGCGUUUGUAUGUACCGUAUGAAUAAGCAUCGGCUAACUCCGUGCCAGCAGCCGCGGUAAUACGGAGGAUGCGAGCGUUAUCCGGAUUUAUUGGGUUUAAAGGGAGCGCAGACGGGAUGUUAAGUCAGCUGUGAAAGUUUGGGGCUCAACCUUAAAAUUGCAGUUGAUACUGGCAUUCUUGAGUGCGGUUGAGGCAGGCGGAAUUCGUGGUGUAGCGGUGAAAUGCUUAGAUAUCACGAAGAACUCCUAUUGCGAAGGCAGCCUGCUAAGCCGUAACUGACGUUCAUGCUCGAAAGUGUGGGUAUCAAACA